AUGGGGAACAAGAUCGCGCGGACAACACAUGCCUCGCGGAUGGAGUACUACCUGCAUGACCUGCCCUCCCCCUGCAACCUCGUGCUACUCGACCUCGUUAGCCGCGACUACCUCCUCUGCAAGCACGACGAGGGCCUCCUCCUCGUCAAGGUCUAAUUCAAGCGCACCGGAGAGCCCCUCGACCUCAAGGACCAUGAGCGAAGGCUGGAGCAGAUCCAGAAGGCCUUCCAGGUCCUCAAGGGAUCCCACGUCUGACCCUUCUAG
rnacentral:rRNA from 1 species